AGAGGAGUAAACUAAGCACUAAGUUAAUGGGUUCAUGCCCCAGAUAUGGAUAAAUUCCCUCCUUUA
rnacentral:tRNA from 1 species